rnacentral:rRNA from 1 species
CUACGGAGGGUGCAAGCGUUACUCGGAAUCACUGGGCGUAAAGCGCGCGCAGGCGGUCUUUUAAGUUGGAUGUGAAAGCCUACAGCUCAACUGUAGAACUGCAUCCAAAACUAUUAGACUAGAGUCUGGGAGGGGAAGAUGGGGUUAGUUGUGUAGGGGUAAAAUCCGUAGAGAUAACUAGGAAUACCAAAAGCGAAGGCGAUCUUCUGGAACAGUACUGACGCUGAGGCGCGAAAGCGUGGGGAGCAAACAGGAUUAGAAACCCCUGUAGUCC